rnacentral:lncRNA from 1 species
AAAAUAAUUAACACAACAAUAAACAAAUGUAAUUGAAAUAAAGCUAAUGGACUUCACAUAGCAUAGUGCAGCGCUGCAGAAACUGCUUAGGUAAGUAGUGUAAACAAGACAAAAGGAACCAGCAGAACUGCUGAGGAAAUUUCUGAGUCAGUAUAGGGCUGUUUGAGAUAGGAAGAAUGAGACAGUUCCCCACUAAGGACUGAGAGCAGCAGAAAUAAUACAGUUGCACUGUGGAAAGCAUCUGUGAGGAGAGCUUAAUUUGGGAAGCCACCAAUAGCUUUCAUGUGAUCUGUAUGAGGCCGCCUGCCUGCUUAGCCCACAUGGAAAGAAACCCCUGAGGACAAAAAAUCUGGAGCUCCAGCCCCUGCACAGCACGCCCAGGGCUGGCUCACAUACCCUGAAGCAGCUGUUGCCUCACCAGUGAUUUUCCCCAUCAAAGCUGCUUCCCAUCACUGAGCUCCUCCAGCCUGUCACAGUUCCCACCAGCUCAGCAAUUCUCAGGAGUAUUCCCUCACUUGUUCUGUACUAGAAAGAAUCAUGUUGCUGGGGUUACCCGGUGCUCCUGGCACAUUAUGACAAAGUACAGGACUAUUAAGGCAUUGCUGGGAGAUUCAGAGGGAUCAACAGGUGGGAGAGGAAAGCUGAGCAAGCCCCAGGGUUCCAGAGGGCAUCCCACCACUUUAGAGUGAGAGAGCAGCCAGAGAGGCAUGCUGCCUGCACAUCAUGCUCCUGUGAACAUCUUUGCAGGAUCUAGACAAGGCUGUGACUUGCCAAACAAAUUAAUUGUAAAACAAAUACAGUACCCUGAAGAGUUAAAGAUCUGAAUUCUGCUUCCUGCUAGUCAGUUUAAUUACCCAGCUACACGUCUUAAAUCAAAACCACAACCGAGUCCUUCUUUGCAACAGCCUCUUUCCCUUUCUUGCUGCUGACAGGACCAGACUCAGCAGCAUCUUCCAUGCUAAGCAGCCACCUCCAGCCCCUGCUUCCAGGCUGUGCUCCUUAGUUCCCAUGCCAAGCAUCAGAAACAGGAGGGGAAAAGAAGACUUGCACAGAUGUCUGCUUGCAUGUGUGGGUUGUUACACCCAGACACCAGAUAAUAUACAUUAAGAAUGAAACAUUUAUUCUUUUAUUUUAUGUUGUGCCAAAAAGUGGGGAGCAGGUGCAUUGAUGUGAGCUGUCUGUAUCUUCUUGUGCGUUUAAUGAAUUAAAUCUAGAAUCUCUUUCUCUCUCUCUCUCUCUCUUUUUAAUCUUUCUAAACCAGGUUUCUCUGGACAAAUGUUUUUUUUUGUUUGUUUGUUUUUGUUUUUGUUUUUUUUUUCCUGCUUCAGAUGGCUAUACAGCUACAGUAGAUGAUUAUACAGCUAUAAUCUCAAAAGAUUUUCAGGGGUAGUUCUAGUGUAAGUAGAUCUCUCUUCUGCACACAACCUUCAUUCCUGC